rnacentral:rRNA from 1 species
UAGGGAAUAUUAGAAAUGGACGGAAAUCUGGUCUAGCAAAACCGCGUGUGCGAAGAAGGCCUUCGGGUCGUAAAGCACUUUUUGGAAGGAAUAGGAAGGAAUGUACUUACAGAAUAAGUCUCGGCUAACUACGUGCCAGCAGCCGCGGUAACACGUAGGAGGCGAACGUUAUCCGGAUUUACUGGGCGUAAAGCGCGUGUAGGUGGUUCUGUAAGUAGGGCGUGAAAGCUCCUGGCUCAACUGGGAGAGGCCGUUCUAAACUACAGAACUAGAGGAUGGUAGAGGGAGGUGGAAAUCCAGGUGUAGCGGUGGAAUGCGCAGAUAUCUGGAGGAACACCAGUGGCGAAGGCGGCCUCCUGGACCAUUCCUGACACUCAGACGCGAAAGCUAGGGUAGCAAACG